AUGCAAGUCGAGGGGUAUAGUUCUUCGGAGCUAGAGACCGGCGCACGGGUGCGUAACGCGUAUGCAAUCUACCUUUUACAGAGGGAUAGCCCAGAGAAAUUUGGAUUAAUACCUCAUAGUAUGUGAGAAUCGCAUGGUUUUCACAUUAAAGUCACAACGGUAAAAGAUGAGCAUGCGUCCCAUUAGCUAGAUGGUAAGGUAACGGCUUACCAUGGCAACGAUGGGUAGGGGUCCUGAGAGGGAGAUCCCCCACACUGGUACUGAGACACGGACCAGACUCCUACGGGAGGCAGCAGUGAGGAAUAUUGGACAAUGGGCGCAAGCCUGAUCCAGCCAUGCCGCGUGCAGGAUGACGGUCCUAUGGAUUGUAAACUGCUUUUGUACAGGAAGAAACACUCCCUCGUGAGGGAGCUUGACGGUACUGUAAGAAUAAGGAUCGGCUAACUCCGUGCCAGCAGCCGCGGUAAUACGGAGGAUCCAAGCGUUAUCCGGAAUCAUUGGGUUUAAAGGGUCCGUAGGCGGUUUAAUAAGUCAGUGGUGAAAGCCCAUCGCUCAACGGUGGAACGGCCAUUGAUACUGUUAAACUUGAAUUAUUAGGAAGUAACUAGAAUAUGUAGUGUAGCGGUGAAAUGCUUAGAGAUUACAUGGAAUACCAAUUGCGAAGGCAGGUUACUACUAAUGGAUUGACGCUGAUGGACGAAAGCGUGGGUAGCGAACAGGAUUAGACACCCUGGUAGUCCACGCCGUAAACGAUGGAUACUAGCUGUUGGGAGCAAUCUCAGUGGCUAAGCGAAAGUGAUAAGUAUCCCACCUGGGGAGUACGUUCGCAAGAAUGAAACUCAAAGGAAUUGACGGGGGCCCGCACAAGCGGUGGAGCAUGUGGUUUAAUUCGAUGAUACGCGAGGAACCUUACCAGGCUUAAAUGUAGUUUGACCGAUUUGGA
rnacentral:rRNA from 1 species